rnacentral:tRNA from 2 species
GGAGAGGUGCUGGAGCGGUCGAACAGGCACGCCUGGAAAGCGUGUAGACGCUAAAACCGUCUCGAGGGUUCGAAUCCCUCCCUCUCCGCCA